UACGUAGGGUGCGAGCGUUAAUCGGAAUUACUGGGCGUAAAGCGUGCGCAGGCGGUUCGUUGUGUCGGCGGUGAAAGCCCCGGGCUCAACCUGGGAAUGGCCGUUGAAACUGGCGAACUGGAGUGUGGCAGAGGGGGGUGGAAUUCCGCGUGUAGCAGUGAAAUGCGUAGAUAUCUGGAGGAACACCGGUGGCGAAGGCGACGUCCUGGACCGGCAUUGACGCUGAGGCGCGAAAGCCAGGGGAGCAAACAGG
rnacentral:rRNA from 1 species